GUCUAACAUGUGGCUUAGUCAGUAGAGCAGGCGACUCUUAAUCUCAGGGUUGUGGGUUUGAGCCCCAUGUUGGGCA